UAGUCCACGCUGUAAACGAUGUCAACUAGCCGUCGGAUUCAUUUAAGGAUUAGGUGGCGAAGCUAACGCGAUAAGUUGACCGCCUGGGGAGUACGGCCGCAAGGUUAAAACUCAAAGGAAUUGACAGGGGCCCGCACAAGCGGUGGAGCAUGUGGUUUAAUUCGAUGCAACGCGAAGAACCUUACCAGCCCUUGACAUCCUCGGAACUUUCUAGAAAUAGGAAGGUGCCUUCGGGAACCGAGUGACAGGUGCUGCAUGGCUGUCGUCAGCUCGUGUCGUGAGAUGUUGGGUUAAGUCCCGUAACGAGCGCAACCCUUGUCCUUAGUUGCCAGCACUUCGGGUGGAACUCUAAGGAGACUGCCGGUGACAAACCGGNGGAAGGUGGGGAUGACGUCAAGUCAUCAUGGGCCCUUAUGGGGCUGGGGCUACACACGUGCUACAAUGGGUCGGUACAGACGGCUGCGAACCCGCGAGGGG
rnacentral:rRNA from 1 species